UUCCUCGUGGCCCAAUGGUCACGGCGUCUGGCUACGAACCAGAAGAUUCCAGGUUCAAAUCCUGGCGGGGAAG
rnacentral:tRNA from 1 species